CUGACAGCACUAGAGACUGAAGUCCUGUAUAUAUACACCCAAGAGAUGUACCACACAGGCUACAACAAUGCACGCUUCCCCACACUGUCUUGCCAAUGUGGCUCACUCUUAGGCUACGUCUUCACUACCCGCCUGAAUCGGUGGGUAGAAAUCGAUCUCUCGGGGAUCGAAUUAUCGCGUCU
rnacentral:sRNA from 1 species